rnacentral:rRNA from 1 species
AGAGUUUGAUCCUGGCUCAGGAUGAACGCUGGCGGCGUGCUUAACACAUGCAAGUCGAACGAAGCACUUAUCUUUGAUUCUUCGGAUGAAGAGGUUUGUGACUGAGUGGCGGACGGGUGAGUAACGCGUGGGUAACCUGCCUCAUACAGGGGGAUAACAGUUAGAAAUGACUGCUAAUACCGCAUAAGACCACGGAGCCGCAUGGCUCAGUGGGAAAAACUCCGGUGGUAUGAGAUGGACCCGCGUCUGAUUAGGUAGUUGGUGGGGUAACGGCCUACCAAGCCAACGAUCAGUAGCCGACCUGAGAGGGUGACCGGCCACAUUGGGACUGAGACACGGCCCAAACUCCUACGGGAGGCAGCAGUGGGGAAUAUUGCACAAUGGGGGAAACCCUGAUGCAGCGACGCCGCGUGAGCGAAGAAGUAUUUCGGUAUGUAAAGCUCUAUCAGCAGGGAAGAAAAUGACGGUACCUGACUAAGAAGCACCGGCUAAAUACGUGCCAGCAGCCGCGGUAAUACGUAUGGUGCAAGCGUUAUCCGGAUUUACUGGGUGUAAAGGGAGCGUAGACGGCUGUGUAAGUCUGAAGUGAAAGCCCGGGGCUCAACCCCGGGACUGCUUUGGAAACUAUGCAGCUAGAGUGUCGGAGAGGUAAGUGGAAUUCCCAGUGUAGCGGUGAAAUGCGUAGAUAUUAGGAGGAACACCAGUGGCGAAGGCGGCCUGCUGGACGACAACUGACGCUGAGGCGCGAAAGCGUGGGGAGCAAACAGGAUUAGAUACCCUGGUAGUCCACGCUGUAAACGAUGAAUACUAGGUGUGGGAGGACUGACCCCCUUCCGUGCCGCAGGUUAACACAAUAAGUAUUCCACCUGGGGAGUACGAUCGCAAGAUUGAAACUCAGAGGAAUUGACGGGGGCCCGCACAAGCAGUGGAUUAUGUGGUUUAAUUCGACGCAACGCGAAGAACCUUACCGGGAUUUGACAUCCUACUAACGAAGUAGAGAUGCAUUAGGUGCCCUUCGGGGAAAGUAGAGACAGGUGGUGCAUGGUUGUCGUCAGCUCGUGUCGUGAGAUGUUGGGUUAAGUCCCGCAACGAGCGCAACCCCUAUUGUUAGUUGCUACGCAAGAGCACUCUAGCGAGACUGCCGUUGACAAAACGGAGGAAGGCGGGGACGACGUCAAAUCAUCAUGCCCCUUAUGUCCCGGGCUACACACGUAAUACAAUGGCGGUCAACAGAGGGAAGCAAAGCCGCGAGGCAGAGCAAACCCCUAAAAGCCGUCUCAGUUCGGAUUGCAGGCUGCAACUCGCCUGCAUGAAGUUGGAAUUACUAGUAAUCGUGGAUCAGCAUGCCACGGUGAAUACGUUCCCGGGCCUUGCACUCACCGCCCGUCA